UGGGUAGAAGAAGUGAGAACUGAGGGAUUCCCUCCAACAGGAAACAGGAACUGAGUGGGCAGUUCGGGGGGACAGAGCUGGCCUUCAGAACAGGAAAGCAGUCUGUUUCUGGCUAGCUGAGAGCCUUCAAGUUUUUCAGAAAAUGUUGGCACAGGUACAGCCCCGUCCUGUCACGGAAGGGUAGACGCUGUCCACACAGCUAGCUUGCUAGCGAGUGUGGUUCCAAAAAAGAGAAUUAGACAGAAAAAAAUGGGGGUGAAGUGGUCCCCAGGCCUGAGAGAUGGAGAAUGGAGUGUAAGAAUCGCUGGAUACGCACGGAGAGACCUCAGGAACUCCACAGGCCAGUGUCAGUGGUUGGAACCCAGACGAGGCAAUUCGGACAUACAAAGAGACACCAGGAGUGCAGACAAGCAGAGGAGGGACUGUGCGAGGACUCAGCGAGAAGGGGCUACCUGCAAGCCAAGGAGAGACGCUGCAGAAGAAGCCAAACCUGUUGACACCUCGAUCUUGGACUUUCAGCCUCCAGGGGCGGGGGAAGUCCAUUUGCACAUACUGGUCUGUGGUAGUCUGUUAUGGCAGCCCCGGCAAACUGAUGCCGUAGGGUUGGGUAUGAACCGAGUGAGGCAGCUAGAUGCCGAAGCAAAGGAUGGGAAGAGAAGAGACUGUCCCAACAGGCAGGACAGCUGGUGUGCGGCACUGUGCCUAUGUUAAGGACCCUGAGCUUUUUCCCGGAGGCGAAGGGAAGCUUUGGGAGAGUUUUAAGCAAGGAGGUGGCAGAAUCAGAAGGUGUUUCAAGGAGAGCUCCCCAGCGGCGACGAGGAAGGUGGAUUUGAUGAGACAGAAAGAUCAAGUCGGAGGCUGUUGGAUUGGUACCAGCGAGUUAUUAAUGGGACUCACAUCCAGGGAGACAGCAGUACCAUGAAUGGAGAAGGACCCAGCUGAGAAUACUUACGAGGAAAGUUCAUAGUGCCGGCUGAAACCCUCCCAGGGCAAGGAGUGGAGAGGAGGAGGAAUUGGAAGGCCCCCACUUUUGGCCUGGGACAAGCGUGGGAACGUGAGCCACCACGGAUGAGCUCACUGCCAUAGGAGACGAGCAGAUGGGGCCCAGGGAGUGGGGUUACCAGUGAGAGGCCUGUAGGGCCACCAGGAAGACAGGAUGUCAAAUGGGUCGCUAAGCAGUUGCCUCUGAUCUUUGAGGGAGAGUGGAGCCAGCCUGUAGAUGUGGGAGCCUCCAGCAAAGAGGGGAGGUAUGGCCAGCGGUGCCCACGCCACUCACAAUCCAUGGGGCCCUUUUAUCAUCCGUGUGCACAUCAACUCCUGGCAUGCUCUCCAUGACUCUUGGUCAGAUGUGGCUCUUGGGUGGCCCAAGCCUGUUUUGCCUGCAAACACAAGAGUCGGAAGUACCUGGGAACAUCCAUCUAUCGAAGCAAUGGGGACACAUGCAGGGGUGUGUCCACAGUCUGGGCCAUACCCCUGCAGGGACAACUCUGAGACUGACCCACACCACCUUCCAGGGCCAUCCUAUGGGACUUGACUUGAUAUCAUAGCACCCUGGCUUGGCCUCCUCCCCCUCUCUUUGCUUCUACUUCCUGUCCUGGGCAUACUUCCUAAUAAAUCUCUUACACAUGAA